rnacentral:rRNA from 1 species
GGAUAACCUGCCCUUAGGUCCGGCAUAACCCCGGGAAACUGGGGAUAAUUCCGGAUAACGCAUAUGUGCUGGAAUGCUUUAUGUGUAAAAUGGAUUCGUCUGCCCAAGGAUGGGUCUGCGGCCUAUCAGGUAGUAGUGGGUGUAAUGUACCUACUAGCCUACGACGGGUACGGGUUGUGAGAGCAAGAGCCCGGAGAUGGAUUCUGAGACAUGAAUCCAGGCCCUACGGGGCGCAGCAGGCGCGAAAACUUUACAAUGCGGGAAACCGUGAUAAGGGGACACCGAGUGCCAGCAUCAUAUGCUGGCUGUCCAGGUGUGUAAAAUACACCUGUUAGCAAGGGCCGGGCAAGACCGGUGCCAGCCGCCGCGGUAACACCGGCGGCCCGAGUGGUGAUCGUGAUUAUUGGGUCUAAAGGAUCCGUAGCCGGUUUGGUCAGUCCUCCGGGAAAUCUGAUAGCUCAACUAUUAGGCUUUCGGAGGAUACUGCCAGACUUGGAACCGGGAGAGGUAAGAGGUACUACAGGGGUAGGAGUGAAAUCUUGUAAUCCCUGUGGGACCACCUGUGGCGAAGGCGUCUUACCAGAACGGGUUCGACGGUGAGGGACGAAAGCUGGGGGCACGAACCGGAUUAGAUACCCGGGUAGUCCCAGCCGUAAACGAUGCUCGCUAGGUGUCAGGCAUGGCGCGACCGUGUCUGGUGCCGCAGGGAAGCCGUGAAGCGAGCCACCUGGGAAGUACGGCCGCAAGGCUGAAACUUAA